rnacentral:rRNA from 1 species
GAUAAACGCUGGCGGCGUGCCUAACACAUGCAAGUCGAACGUCCUCUUUUGCCUUCGCGAGAAGGGGAGAGAGGGAGUGGCGGACGGGUGAGUAACACGUGGGUACCUACCCUGGGGUGAGGAAUACCGGCGAGAAAUCGCCGACAAGACCGCAUAGGCUCUUUCUUGCACAACGUAAAAGAGAGCAAAGCCGAAAGGUGCCCUGGGAUGGGCCUGCGGCCGAUUAGCUAGUUGGCGAGGUAAGAGCUCCCCAAGGCGACGAUCGGUAGCUGGUCUGAGAGGACGAACAGCCACACUGGGAUUGAGAACGGCCCAGACUCCUACGGGGGCAGCAGUGAGGAAUUUUCCGCAAUGGGCGCAAGCCUGACGGAGCAACGCCGCGUGC